rfam:Bacillus marisflavi strain JCM 11544 super9, whole genome shotgun sequence.
UCUGGUGACAUUGGCGAAGAGGUCACACCCGUUCCCAUGCCGAACACGGAAGUUAAGCUCUUCAGCGCCGAUGGUAGUUGGGGGAUCUCCCCCUGUGAGAGUAGGACGUCGCCAGGC